CACCAAAGUGAUGAAAGAGAACUAUUACAAAAUGCUUGUUUACAUUUUCUGUAAUGUUAUCCUUCCAUUUUUUUAAUUUUUUGCAUGUCCUCAACCUCCUCAUCCUCCAAAGGCCCAAAGGAAACCUGCAUGCCAUAUUUGUUUGGUUGAUUUUGUAGAUAUUGAGCCUGACAGACAGAUCAACAGAAAGAUAGAAAGACACACAGUAAAAAGUAUUUUUAGAAUAUCAAAGUACAAGAUUCUUUAUUGUCAAUAUCAAAGUUUAAUGGUUCUUUAUUGUCAAUACCAGGGGUGAUUCUAGACCCUUUUUAGGGUGGCUUCAGCCCCCUGUCUGUGAUCUCAGCCACCCUAAAACUAGAAGUAUAAUUUUUACUUUCAAAAAUAAAAAAUAAAAAUUACGUUAAAAUGCAGAACAUGUCGUCGUAGGAGAAAGAAAAUUAUUUAUCGGUUUGAUCCAAGAGCGAAUUUUCUUACUUUGCUUUUACGCGCGUACGUUGUAGUCUUUCAAAAGUGCGUCUUCAGCUGUCUGCUUUAUAUGAACGGAGAAGCAGAGAGUCUGUCAGAGCUGGAAGCGUUUAUCUCUAACGUUAAUCGGCGGAAAGCCACAAAGAUGGCAACCAAAAGCGGUGAAAUUCUUAUUACCAGAGUUGAUAGCACACCAAAAUAUUAAUGCAUGCGAUCCAUCCAAUACUAAAUAAAAAGAAUAUUUAUUGAUUUGGUAUGGAAGCGUAUUGCAUUCAUUUGAGAAAAAUGGUUCAUGGUUCUUUAUUGAACCAUGAAAAAUUAAAAAUUGUUGUUUUUCUGAAUUAAUGAGAUCCCUCAAAAUCCUGCGAGAAGCUCUCACCUGCACGAAGUAAUGUCAGGCCACAGUUGCUGAUGCUAAACAGCCUGACCCUCCAACAACAACAACAGUGCCAGGCCUACAUGGGUUCAGUGCAGGGCCAACUAUGGCUACGUCUUCAAUUACCCCCCUCCCACAAGAUGAUGGUCUGUGGAUGUUUCUUCAGAGCCGAGGGAUUCCUGAGAAAAAUAUUCAGAAAAUGCAGCAAGAUCAUAUUGACAGCUCGGUAGUUGGAGAAAUAGAUGAUGCCACUAUAACUGCUUACAUUCCAGCAUAUGGUGAUAGGAUUGCUACAAGGCGUUUCUGUAUGGAAAAACAGAGAAAAGGUGGUGAUGAUCUAAAAAGACAGUUCUUCUUUGUAAAACUUAAAAGAAAGACGGGCACAUUGACAAGCAAUAAAGACACAGAUCAAGAUUUUGAGGAGGAGCAUUCUAUGCAGCCAACAAAGAUACAUCUGAGAAAAAAACAAAAGGGCCAUGAAGAUGACCAGGAAAAUAGAACUAGGAUGGAUAAACGACAAGAAACAAGUGAGAAAACGCAAUAGUGGAGGAAGCAGAGUUCUUGAUAUUUCCAAGAAAGCCACAAAAACAGAAAUUCUAUCACAAGCUAAAAAAGCUUCCCCAAUGAGAAAUCGAGAAAGGGAAAGUGGGAAGAGUUCAGUCACAACAUUGUUGACUUUCAGGAAGCAUACCUUGAUGAGGGUGUUUGUGUGGGAGAGCUCUAUGGAGAUAAAUUGGAGAUUUUAAGAUUUUACUUGUUCACAGAGCAAAUGACAAAUGAAGAUGAAGUGCUCACAGAGAUGACAGAAGGAACUCAUGAACAGACAGAUGCAGCGAGGCUAAAUGAGCGACAGGAAAACCCAACAGAAGAUAAUGAGCAGCUGACACAAAAAACACAUAACGGUGAACAGCAGACACAUACUGUAGAUCAGGGGUAUUCAAUUAAAAUUCAAAGGGGUCCAGUUACUAAAAUUUCCUCCCAGCAAAGGUCCAAAUCUUAUAUUGUCACUUAAAAUAGUGUACCCUCAUGUUAAUCGAAUCAAUAACGUACAUACAUUACUAUAUCAUUUAUUGUUAAAUUUCGAGUGUUUUCAAAGUCUGAACUUGUAUGGCACUUGAAUGGAAAACAAUCCUGUAGUUGUCUUUACUACAUGUCAAGUAACAGACAACAGACACUGAAUUUCUUCUGAAUAAAAUAGAUAAAAAGUGCAAACACAGCUUUGAGCAGCCUGACGUUAUGAAUGAAACAUCUGCCACAUCUCCCGACCGCCACCAGAGGGAACCUUCACCCGAGUUUUAGCGACUUCCUGACUACAUCCCCCACAAUCCACCACUCCUGUCAUGAUCACACCUGUUUCCCAUUUCCCACGCUAUAAAAGCUGAACUUGAACCUUUCCCCAGUGCGAAGUCUCGACUAGUGUUUACUGUCAUUCUGAGCGUUUUCUGGUUGUUAUUCUGUUUUUUGACUGUUUGAUAUUCUGAUUCUCUGACUGUUUGCCGCCUGCCCCGACCUGUUUUCCGUGUUUACCGAUUCUGAUUAUUUGCUCUCUACAUUGUGUUUGCCGGCUCUGACCCCCACCUGUUGUACUACUGCACGAUCUCCUAAUAAAGCGUGCAUAUGGAUCCUCCGUCUCCUGACGCUUCGUUACACCUGAACUUAGGGCUUAUAUUUCAAGUAAUGUAAAA